ACGCUCGACACCUACGGGAGGCAGCAGUGGGGAAUAUUGCACAAUGGGGGAAACCCUGAUGCAGCGACGCCGCGUGAGUGAAGAAGUAUUUCGGUAUGUAAAGCUCUAUCAGCAGGGAAGAAGAUGACGGUACCUGAGUAAGAAGCCCCGGCUAACUACGUGCCAGUAGCCGCGGUAAUCUGAGCGGGCUGGCAAGGC
rnacentral:rRNA from 1 species